UACGAACCGUCCAACCGUUAUUCGGAAUUACUGGGCUUAAAGGGUGCGUAGGCGGCCAUGUAAGUGAGGUGUGAAAUCCCUCGGCUCAACCGAGGAACUGCGCUUCAUACUGCAUGGCUUGAGGGAGACAGGGGUAAGCGGAACUGAUGGUGGAGCGGUGAAAUGCGUUGAUAUCAUCAGGAACACCGGUGGCGAAAGCGGCUUACUGGGUCUCUUCUGACGCUGAGGUACGAAAGCUAGGGUAGCGAACGGG
rnacentral:rRNA from 1 species